rnacentral:rRNA from 1 species
AUUGAACGCUGGCGGCAGGCUUAACACAUGCAAGUCGAACGCCCCGCAAGGGGAGUGGCAGACGGGUGAGUAACGCGUGGGAAUCUACCCAGUUCUACGGAACAACAGUUGGAAACGACUGCUAAUACCGUAUACGCCCUACGGGGGAAAGAUUUAUCGGAAUUGGAUGAGCCCGCGUAAGAUUAGCUAGUUGGUGGGGUAAUGGCCUACCAAGGCGACGAUCUUUAGCUGGUCUGAGAGGAUGAUCAGCCACACUGGGACUGAGACACGGCCCAGACUCCUACGGGAGGCAGCAGUGGGGAAUAUUGGACAAUGGGCGCAAGCCUGAUCCAGCCAUGCCGCGUGAGUGAUGAAGGCCUUAGGGUUGUAAAGCUCUUUCACCGAUGAAGAUAAUGACGGUAGUCGGAGAAGAAGCCCCGGCUAACUUCGUGCCAGCCGCCGCCGUAAGAC